rnacentral:rRNA from 1 species
CAGGACGAACGCUGGCGGCGUGCCUAAUACAUGCAAGUCGAACGGUCUUUCUAUGGAAGCUUGCUCCACUGAGAAGAUAGUGGCGAACGGGUGAGUAACACGUGGGUAACCUGCCCAUAAGAGGGGGAUAACAUCCGGAAACGGGUGCUAAUACCGCAUAGUUUCUUGAUCGCAUGAUCGGGAAGGAAAGACGGCCUUUGUGCUGUCGCUUAUGGAUGGACCCGCGGCGUAUUAGUUAGUUGGUGAGGUAACGGCUCACCAAGACGAUGAUACGUAGCCGACCUGAGAGGGUGAUCGGCCACAUUGGGACUGAGACACGGCCCAAACUCCUACGGGAGGCAGCAGUAGGGAAUCUUCCGCAAUGGACGAAAGUCUGACGGAGCAACGCCGCGUGAGUGAAGAAAAGGUUUUCGGAUCGUAAAACUCUGUUGUCAGAGAAGAACAAGUUGGAGAGUAACUGCUCCAGCCUUGACGGUAUCUGACCAGAAAGCCACGGCUAACUACGUGCCAGCCGCUGC